UGAGUACUGGUUCCAAGUGACAUGACCCAGCGAUUUUGUUUACAGUCUGGACUUCUGAUCAAGAGCGUUCUUGAAAUUUUCCUUCAGUUUUAAGACAUUUUCAUGUAGGCAGAGUGUUCUUCCCCUAAAGGCACUUGACACUCAUUUUUUAAGUGUGUAGUGAACAGUACUAAGAUCUAAUAAUGAAAACAAGUUACAUGGCUCCCUAAGAACAAGUACUAACAAAUGCAGUAGCCAACAAGAUUACCAUGCAAUCAUUAAGGAGAACCAAAGUAAGAGAGCCACUCAAACCAGACUUUGAACGCCACUAAAAUUAAAGUAGUUCUUUGAUGAAUAUGAAUGAGUAGGGAAAGGAUUCUUUGUGAUAGUGAUACCUCUGCGGUAAGAGAAGGGUGGUAUGUGAGUUUUAGUCUACAGAUUAUGGCAAAUUCAGUGACAACAAUCAAAUGGUCUAAGAUUGACAGUAGCACAGUUUUACUCUGUGAAGGUAAUGUUUAGGACAAAUUUCAAGAAAACUAGAAAACCAUUCUUUACAGCUGAAAUCUUUCCCGAACCAUUGUUAUUUCCACUUUUAAGUCCUCAAGAGAUGAGAAAAGGGAGGUAAGGCUUCCUUAUACAUUUCCUGCACAAUGAAACAUUUUUCCUCCUCCAGGCAAAGAUUCAAGCAGAACUGGCAAAUAUCUUAUCUUGCUCUUCUCAAUAAUAAUAAUGUUGUUAGAUAAUAAAGUUCUAUAGCAAUUUAACCCUAGAAUCUUUUUGAAAAGUAAUUCUUUAAAGUUGAGAAUCACAGCUGUCUAGCAAGCAUUUCCUUGGGCACUUGAAGCUGUUUAUUCACUUUGGUCUUUCCUCCCAGGGGAAUGAAGUGAGGCCAGUGGCCGGGUCUGCUGAGUCCGCAGCACUCAGACUACGUGCACCUCUGCAGCAGGUGCAGGCCCAGUUGUCACCCCUCCAGAACAUCUCCCCGUGGAUUCUGGCGGUAUUGACUCUUCAGAUUCAGAGUCUGAUAUCCUGUUGGGCAUUCUGGACAACUUGGACCCAGUCAUGUUCUUCAAAUGCCCUUCCCCAGAGCCUGCCAGCCUGGAGGAGCUCCCAGAGGUCUACCCAGAAGGACCCAGUUCCUUACCAGCCUCCCUUUCUCUGUCAGUGGGGACGUCAUCAGCCAAGCUGGAAGCCAUUAAUGAACUAAUUCGUUUUGACCACAUAUAUACCAAGCCCCUAGUCUUAGAGAUACCCUCUGAGACAGAGAGCCAAGCUAAUGUGGUAGUGAAAAUCGAGGAAGCACCUCUCAGCCCCUCAGAGAAUGAUCACCCUGAAUUCAUUGUCUCAGUGAAGGAAGAACCUGUAGAAGAUGACCUCGUUCCGGAGCUGGGUAUCUCAAAUCUGCUUUCAUCCAGCCACUGCCCAAAGCCAUCUUCCUGCCUACUGGAUGCUUACAGUGACUGUGGAUAUGGGGGUUCCCUUUCCCCCUUCAGUGACAUGUCCUCCCUGCUUGGUGUAAACCAUUCUUGGGAGGACACUUUUGCCAAUGAACUCUUUCCCCAGCUGAUUAGUGUCUAAGGAAUGAUCCAAUACUGUUGCCCUUUUCCUUGACUAUUACACUGCCUGGAGGAUAGCAGAGAAGCCUGUCUGUGCUUCAUUCAAAAAGCCAAAAUAGAGAGUAUACAGUCCUAGAUAAUUCCUCUAUUUGUUCAGAUCUCAUAGAUGACCCCCAGGUAUUGUCUUUUGACAUCCAGCGGUCCAAGGUAUUGAGACAUAUUACUGGAAGUAAGAAAUAUUACUAUAAUUGAGAACUACAGCUUUUAAGAUUGUACUUUUAUCUUAAAAGGGUGGUAGUUUACCCUAAAAUACUUAUUAUGUAAGGGUCAUUAGACAAAUGUCUUGAAGUAGACAUGGAAUUUAUGAAUGGUUCUUUAUCAUUUCUCUUCCCCCUUUUUGGCAUCCUGGCUUGCCUCCAGUUUUAGGUCCUUUAGUUUGCUUCUGUAAGCAACGGGAACACCUGCUGAGGGGGCUCUUUCCCUCAUGUAUACUUCAAGUAAGAUCAAGAAUCUUUUGUGAAAUUAUAGAAAUUUACUAUGUAAAUGCUUGAUGGAAUUUUUUCCUGCUAGUGUAGCUUCUGAAAGGUGCUUUCUCCAUUUAUUUAAAACUACCCAUGCAAUUAAAAGGUACAAUGCAG
rnacentral:sRNA from 1 species